rnacentral:rRNA from 1 species
CCUACGGGAGGCAGCAGUGGGGAAUAUUGGACAAUGGGCGAAAGCCUGAUCCAGCCAUGCCGCGUGUGUGAAGAAGGCCUUCGGGUUGUAAAGCACUUUCAGUGGGGAAGAAAGCCUUGGGGCUAAUACCCUCGAGGAAGGACAUCACCCACAGAAGAAGCACCGGCUAACUCCGUGCCAGCAGCCGCGGUAAUACGGAGGGUGCGAGCGUUAAUCGGAAUUACUGGGCGUAAAGCGCGCGUAGGCGGUCUGAUAAGCCGGUUGUGAAAGCCCCGGGCUCAACCUGGGAACGGCAUCCGGAACUGUCAGGCUAGAGUGCAGGAGAGGAAGGUAGAAUUCCCGGUGUAGCGGUGAAAUGCGUAGAGAUCGGGAGGAAUACCAGUGGCGAAGGCGGCCUUCUGGACUGACACUUACGCUGAGGUGCGAAAGCGUGGGUAGCAAACAGGAUUAGAUACCCGGGUAGUC